rnacentral:rRNA from 1 species
CCUACGUGAGGCUGCAGUGGGGAAUAUUGGACAAUGGGCGAAAGCCUGAUCCAGCCAUGCCGCGUGUGUGAAGAAGGCCUUUGGGUUGUAAAGCACUUUCAGUGGGGAAGAAAGCCUUGGGGCUAAUACCCUCGAGGAAGGACAUCACCCACAGAAGAAGCACCGGCUAACUCCGUGCCAGCAGCCGCGGUAAUACGGAGGGUGCGAGCGUUAAUCGGAAUUACUGGGCGUAAAGCGCGCGUAGGCGGUCUGAUAAGCCGGUUGUGAAAGCCCCGGGCUCAACCUGGGAACGGCAUCCGGAACUGUCAGGCUAGAGUGCAGGAGAGGAAGGUAGAAUUCCCGGUGUAGCGGUGAAAUGCGUAGAGAUCGGGAGGAAUACCAGUGGCGAAGGCGGCCUUCUGGACUGACACUGACGCUGAGGUGCGAAAGCGUGGGUAGCAAACAGGAUUAGAUACCCUAGUAGUC